CUACGUGCCAGCAGCCGCGGUAAUACGUAGGGCGCGAGCGUUGUCCGGAAUUAUUGGGCGUAAAGAGCUUGUAGGCGGUUUGUCGCGUCUGCUGUGAAAGGCCGGGGCUUAACCCCGUGUAUUGCAGUGGGUACGGGCAGACUAGAGUGCAGUAGGGGAGACUGGAAUUCCUGGUGUAGCGGUGGAAUGCGCAGAUAUCAGGAGGAACACCGAUGGCGAAGGCAGGUCUCUGGGCUGUAACUGACGCUGAGAAGCGAAAGCAUGGGGAGCGAACAGGAUUAGAUACCCUGGUAGUCCAUGCCGUAAACGUUGGGCACUAGGUGUGGGGGACAUUCCACGUUUUCCGCGCCGUAGCUAACGCAUUAAGUGCCCCGCCUGGGGAGUACGGCCGCAAGGCUAAAACUCAAAGAAAUUGACGGGGGCCCGCACAAGCGGCGGAGCAUGCGGAUUAAUUCGAUGCAACGCGAAGAACCUUACCAAGGCUUGACAUGC
rnacentral:rRNA from 1 species